CACACGUGCAAAUGGCACAACAGCACUAACCAGGCCCUGCAGAUACCUUGACUCGAGCAACAUUUUAAGACAACAGAACAGAAUCCCCUUAACAGCUCUCAACUCUUCGAACAUUACAACAAAUUGCCUAAAACUGAAAUCUGUAAAGGAGGUCAUGAAGAAAGGAUAUCUGGAGUCAACUUGGCUCACACAUCUUAGUCCAGAAGAGGCACUGAUUCAGCUGGAUGGGACACAGCACUCAUUGCUGGAGGCCUGAAGUUUCCAAAGAGAUUAAGAUAACUUUGAUGACAUUUCUGGAGGAUGAAGAGCAGCAAUGAUAACUGAGACUAUACGUGUGAGUGCCAUUCAAAAGGGCUUAGGAAAUAUCAGUCACACCCUGAGGGUACAUCUAAUCUGGACUGCACUCCCUGCUCCUAGUCAAUACACAUUUCAUCAUGUCAUCCAAGCUGAUUGCCAAGAAUCCUUCCUACUGAAUCAUAUAUUUCUGAGCUGCCAUCACUCCAAACUGCAUGGCUGCCAUGUUCACAUCUACUGGUGUCAGCACUGCAAAAGGAGAUGAGAAAGAUCCUUAUCCCCAUUUGACAACCCUCUCCUGGACCAGAACAGAAGCACAUGGAUCCUAUCCCUCCUUCUUCCCUCCUUUAGCAAAGUCGGACAUAACUGGAGCAGAAGCUUCAACAGACAUAGCAGCAGACUCCUGUUCAAGUGCUCUGAAGAAGGGUAAGGAAAGUGAGAGUUCAUGUGGUAAAAUAACAAAACAAAUAUCUGAAUGGCCACAGAGUGCAUGUUGUGAUUUGAGAGGUUUGUGGUUUUAAAUAAAGUAUAAAUGAGCAAUAAGAUUAGAAACUUCAUUUGUUAAAGUUUGCAUUUCCC
ensembl:lncRNA